rnacentral:rRNA from 1 species
CUUUCCCUCUGUCGGUAGGCCUAACACAUGCAAGUCGAACGGCAGCACAGUAAGAGCUUGCUCUUACGGGUGGCGAGUGGCGGACGGGUGAGGAAUACAUCGGAAUCUACUUUUUCGUGGGGGAUAACGUAGGGAAACUUACGCUAAUACCGCAUACGACCUACGGGUGAAAGCAGGGGAUCUUCGGACCUUGCGCGAUUGAAUGAGCCGAUGUCGGAUUAGCUAGUUGGCGGGGCAAAGGCCCACCAAGGCGACGAUCCGUAGCUGGUCUGAGAGGAUGAUCAGCCACAAUGGAACUGAGACACGGUCCAGACUCCUACGGGAGGCAGCAGUGGGGAAUAUUGGACAAUGGGCGCAAGCCUGAUCCAGCCAUACCGCGUGGGUGAAGAAGGCCUUCGGGUUGUAAAGCCCUUUUGUUGGGAAAGAAAAGCAGCAGGUUAAUACCCCGCUGUUCUGACGGUACCCAAAGAAUAAGCACCGGCUAACUUCGUG